AACGAACGCUGGCGGCAGGUCUUAGGCAUGCAAGUCGAACGGGUGAAGCAGAGCUUGCUCUGUGGAUCUAGUGGCGCACGAGUGAGUAGCGCGUGGGAAACUGCCCACCACUGGGGAAUAACGUUUGGAAACGAACGCUAAUACCGCAUACGCCGGAAACGGGAAAGAUUUAUCGGUGGUGGAUGUGCCCGCGUUGGAUUAGCUUGUUGGUGGGGUAACGGCCUACCAAGGCGAUGAUCCAUAGCUGGUCUGAGAGGACGAUCAGCCACGCUGGAACUGAGACACGGUCCAG
rnacentral:rRNA from 1 species